CAGGCCCAGCAGCUAGGAUAUGCAUAUAAUUGGUAGAUGUGGAUAGAAAAGACUCUGAAGUUUCUAAAACUGUUAAAAUAAUGUCUGUGAGUAUAACAAAACUGAUAUGGCAGGUGAAAACCCGAGCACAAUCCAUCCAGGAAGUGGGAUUUAUUUGAUGUGAGUGGGUUUUCCAUUGAAUGCCUAUUGACUAUGUAAUGGGUUAGGGCCCAGAUUGCAGUUCCUAUGGCUUCCACUAGAUGUCAACAGUCUUUAGACAUGGUUUUAGGCUUGUUUUCUGAAAAAUGAAGAAGAAUGAGACCUUUUGGUCAGGGGACUAUGGAAUCAUGCAGUACAGGUUUGCGCGCGUAACUGUGUGUGCGCUCUUUGUUGUUUUUCCUUUCUAUUGAAUACGCUAUUGUCCGGUUGAAAUAUUAUCGAUUAUUUAGAUAAUUGACACCCUGAGGAUUAGUUAUAAACAUUGUUUGACAUGUUUCGAUUAACUUUACCGGUACUAUUAGGGUGUAUUCGUCUGCAUGUUUUGACCACCUUUGAGCCAGGGGAUUACUGAACAAAACGCGCCAACAAAACUGAGUUUUUGGGAUAUAAAGAGGGACUUUAUCGAACAAAGCAACCAUUUAUUGUGUAGCUGGGACCCGUGUGAUUGCAACCAGAUGAAGAUCUUCAAAGGUAAGUGAUUCAUUUUAUCGCUAUUUCUGACUUUCGUGACUCCUCUACUUGGUUGGAAAAUGUUUGUAUGCUUUUGUAAGCAGGGCGCUGUCCUCAGAUAAUCGUAUGGUAUGCUUUUGCCGUAAAGCCUUUUUGAAAUCUGACAAAGCGGCUGGAUUAACAAGAAGUUUAUCUUUUAACCAAUGUAUAACACUUGUAUUUUCAUGAAUGUUUAUUAUUACUAUUUCUGUAAUUUGAAUUUGGCGCUCUGCAAUUUCACUGGAUGUUGGCCAGAUGGGACGCUAGUGUCCCACCUUGCCCAAAGAGGAUUUAAUCGUAGAUUGUCCAGUUUGUUUUCCAAUGAUUGCACGUUGGCCAAUAAUAUGGAGGGAAGUGGUGAUUUACCUACUCGUCUGCAAAUACUUACAAGGCACCCCACCCUCCUUCCCCUUUUCCUUUGUCUUUUCUUCAUGCUGAUGAUGGAGAUUUGGGCCUUGUCUUGACAAAGCAGUAUAUCCUUCGCGUCGGACUCAUUAAAUAAAAAUCUUCUUCCAGUUCGAGGUGAGUAAUCAAUGUUCUGAUGUCCAGAAGCUCUUUUUAGUCAUAAGAGACGGUAGGAACAACAUUAUGUACAAAAUGAGUUACAAAUAAUGCGAAAAAACUAUCAAAAUAGCACAGUUGGUUAGGAGCCCGUAAAACGGCAGCCAUCCCUUCCGGCACUAUUAUAUCGUCUCUGCUCUCAUCUUUUUCUUCUCUCUCCUCUCUUUCUCAGUACUUAAGCAAAUUGUUACCUUUCCUGCCAGAGCAAUGUUUUUUUAAUAUUAUUAUUUUCAGUCGAUAAAGUCCUCUGAACUUGUCCUGUCCUGACAGAGCAAGUAGUCAAUACAGUCCAUAUUCCCUAAAAGCACAUGGAGCAGUGGGUAGGAUUUUGAUUUAUUUUAAUUUUACUAGGCAAGUCAGUUAAGAACAAAUUCUUAUUAUCAAUGACGGCCUAGGAAAAGUGGGUUAACUGCCUUGUCAGCUCAGCGAUUCGAUCUUGCAACCUUUGGUUGCUAGUCCAACGCUCUAACCACUAGGCUACCUGUCACCCCAAAGGCUGUUGGUUUCAGAUGAGGAUACAUAGAGAAAGGAAGGCAAGUCAGUGGUUCCAGUACCUAGCAGUCCACUGUAGGGCUUGCACAUGUAAUUCCAGUGUGAAUGCAGGACCCCUAUUUAUCUCUCCUGAAAAGGAAAAAGGUUAGCACUUGCAAUUUACAACAACUGUUAUAUUUCAAAAAUGUUUCCUUCUGUUUACAAAAAUACCAGUUUUUCUUCCCAUACAAAAUAACACAGUUCCCAAAACAUGGCCCACGUCUCAAUGCAUAGAAUAUAAAACAGUCACAAUUUACAGACCCACAUACUUCAGGGGGUUUAAGGUCCCAGUCCCAAUGACAACGUUCUGUGGUAGUGGCUAAGAUCUCCUGUGGAAUGGCAUUAAAUCUUUUGACUUGCCCGUCAGAUUGCCGUCUGAAAGGGGUUGUGAGAGUCUUCUCGAUUCCUAACAGUUCACGCAUUCUUUGGAAGACUUCUGAUUUGAAGUUGGAGCCUUGGUCGCUGUGGAGUGUCUGUGGGGCUCCAUAGCGACACACCCAUUCAGCUGUCAGAACUUCUGCCACUGUUGCGGCUUGAUAGUUGGGUAGAGGGUAGGCUUCCACCCACUUUGUGAAAUAGUAUUGAACCACCAAUAUGUAGCGAUUCUAGCAUUCUGUCUUGUUCAUGGGGCGAUCCUCUCCAUAGGUACUCCCACGAGAACAGUGCCCAUAGGUGCUUGGGGCUUCGUCGAAGGUCUGGCUUUAGCGGCACAGCUGGUACAUGUACGACACCAUAGUGUGACAUCCUCUCUCAUUCGGUACCAGUAGUAUCUUGUCUGCAGCCGGGCAAGUGUUCGUUCCACGCCAAAGUGACUGGUUACUGGGCCGUCAUGCAUCUGCUUCAUUCUGUCCGUCCGGAACACAUGAGGUAGUAUCUGUCGGUAUAUCCUGCCUGGUUGGCCCUGUCCAGUUUCAACUAUUCUGCCUGCAGCUAUGGAACCCUGACCUGUUCACCGGGCGUGCUACCUUGUCCCGUACCUGCUGUUUUCGACUCUCUCUCUCUACCGCACCUGCUGUCUCUAACUCUGAAUGAUCGGCUAUGAAAAGCCAACUGACAUUUACUCCUGAGGUGCUGACCUGUUGCACCCUCUACAACCACUGUGAUUAUUAUUAUUAUUUGACCCUGCUGGUCAUCUAUGAACGUUUGAACAUCUUGGCCAUGUACCAUUAUAAUCUCAACCCGGCACAGCCAGAAGAGGACUGGCCACCCCUCAGAGCCUGGUUCCUCUCUAGGUUUCUUCUUAGGUUCAUGCCUUUCUAGGGAGUUUUUCCUAGCCACGUGCUUCUACACCUGCAUUGCUUGCUGUAUGGGGUUUUAGGCUGGGUUUCUGUAUAGCACUUUGUGACAUCGGCUGAUGUAAAAAAUUACUUUAUAAAUACAUUUGAUUGAUUGAUUGAUUCCACAGUGUAAUCAGUUAUGCUGGGGCCGAGGUCACACUGCACUUCCUGGUGCCUGCAAUGGUCAUUGUUCUGGGUAGGGUCCUGUACAGUGCAGGGGCAAGUCUGGCGGCGUCACGCAGAGAGGAAACGUUGCAAAGACCCUGGUGAGGCAACGCUUUUCUUCAGGCGUUGUCGGUUCCGUCAUCAGACGAAGGAGGUGCAAGCAUGAUGACACCGAUUCAGUUAAUUGUCACUUAGAAUGGCAUAAUUUCAAUAAAUGUGACCCAUCCAUUUCAUAAUGAUAAAUGAUGAAUUGUGUAUCUGUAUCUGAUGUUAUGUUAUGGUUCAAAUUGGCUAUCGAUAACGCCGCUCAUCUCUCUCAUCACAUCAGACUCGACAUGUUGAAUGUAAAAAGGGCUUUGAUGUAAAAAGGGCUUUAUAAAUACAUUUGAUUGAUUGAUUCCACCUCGUAAUCAGCUAUGCUGGGACCGAGGCCACACUGCACUUCCUGGUGCCUGAAACAGUCAUUGUUCUGGGUUUGGUCCUGUAUAGUGCAGGAGCAAGUCUGGCGGCAGGGCCUCCUGAACAGGACGUUAGCAUUUUCGUGGUGGCGUCCUGAACGAUACACCCCAGGCAUGUGCAGCUCAUAGGCAAGGCCCUGACAACAGCUUCUGUUUGAGAAAGGUAGAAGAACUUAAUAGACCACUGAUUGUGCAUUGGUGACAACUAAA
rnacentral:lncRNA from 1 species